GAUGAACGCUGGCGGCGUGCCUAAUACAUGCAAGUCGAGCGAACGGACGAUAAGCUUUUUUCUCUGAUGUUAGCGGCGGACGGGUGAGUAACACGUGGAUAACCUACUUAUAAUACUGGGAUAACUUCGGGAAACCGGAUCUAAUACCGGAUAAUAUUUUGAACCGCAUGGUUCAAAAGUGAAAGACGGUUUUGCUGUCACUUAUAGCUGGUUCCGCGAUGCAUUAGCUAGUUGGUAAGGUAACGGCUUACCAAGGCAACGAUGCAUAGCCGACCUGAGAGGGUGAUCAGCCACACUGGAACUGAGACACGGUCCAGACUCCUACGGGAGGCAGCAGUAGGGAAUCUUCCGCAAUGGGCGAAAGCCUGACGGAGCAACGCCGCGUGAGUGAAGAAGGUCUUCGGAUCGUAAAACUCUGUUGUUAGGGAAGAACAUAUGUGUAAGUAACUGUGCACAUCUUGACGGUACCUAAUGAGAAAGCACCGGCUAACUACGUG
rnacentral:rRNA from 1 species